rnacentral:rRNA from 1 species
UGGGGAAUAUUGGACAAUGGGCGAAAGCCUGACACAGCAACGCCGCGUGAAGGAUGAAGUCCCUCGGGAUGUAAACUUCGUAAGAAUAGGAAGAAUAAAUGACGGUACUAUUUGUAAGGUCCGGCUAACUACGUGCCAGCAGCCGCGGUAAUACGUAGGGACCAAGCGUUGUUCGGAUUUACUGGGCGUAAAGGGUGCGUAGGCGGCAUAUCAAGUCACUUGUGAAAUCUCCGGGCUUAACUCGGAACUGCCAAGUGAUACUGAUGUGCUAGAGUGCAGAAAGGGCAACUGGAAUUCUUGGUGUAGCGGUGAAAUGCGUAGAUAUCAAGAGGAACACCUGAGGCGAAGGCGAGUUGCUAGGCUGACACUGACGCUGAGGUACGAAAGCUAGGGGAGCGAACGGGAUUAGAUACCCAAGUAGUCCCUGAGCGGGCUGGCAAGGCGCAU